AAAAAAAAACUGGGUAUAUUUUGUCAUUUACCUGCAGCGGUCACACUGCAUGGUCUCUGGCAUAGCUAUAUUUUAAACGCUUUAGUCUGCUUUUUGUAAACCGAAUGUGCAAAAUGAAACGCGCUUGAGUGUGCACGCGACAGUUAAGCGAGCAAAAAAGGACACUCCAACAAAAAGUGCUGACCAAGUAUAUACGUACACAUACGACUACAUAUAUACACACACAGAUAAUCAAAAUUUGAUUUUUUUAACAAUUGCAUUUGUAAUUGCCGUAAAAAUGUAAAUGUCACAUCCAAAGAGACGUAAGGAAAUUGUUUGUAAAAGAAAAAAAAAAA